rnacentral:rRNA from 1 species
AGAGUUUGAUCCUGGCUCAGAUUGAACGCUGGCGGCAUGCCUAACACAUGCAAGUCGAACGGCAGCACAGUAGAGCUUGCUCUAUGGGUGGCGAGUGGCGGACGGGUGAGUAAUGCAUCGGGACCUACCUAGACGUGGGGGAUAACGUAGGGAAACUUACGCUAAUACCGCAUACGUCCUACGGGAGAAAGCAGGGGAUC